UAGGGGAGCUAAAUGUCAAAGAAGGAAAAUCCAUACGAUUUGACAGGUAUGUACCACACAUGUUUCGGACAGCAGAACAAAGGGAACCGAAGCGACAAUCUUUAUCUUGUAACUAAAAUAUCUUUUGGUUAGCCAUUUUGAUUUUGUUGUUUGCAAUUUGCAUGCUGAGCAUUUUUUAAGUUUCAAAUAUUAAUAUAUCUACGUACCUAUUUAAUUAUUAUAUUUAAACUAUUUAUUGUGAAACGCCUCUGGAUAUUUAGUUUCAUCUGAUUUGAAGUCUGGCCUGGAACAUUCAUUGGAAAGUUGGAAAAGAAUUUAGCGAUUUGUCCUGAAAACGGCUAGUUGAUACCCAGGAAGUGUCUGAAAUCCUCGAUUAAAGAGACGAGGUGGAAUUCAGUUAGUGCACUAUGAGUAGCGCUCUAAUGGAAGGAGAGUGUUCUCCAGUAAGUGUGAGCAGAGCCAGACUGCGAAGCAUGAAAAGAGGAACCCAAAGUGACAUGCAGCAACGAAGACAACCACCACGACUGGUGACCGGAUUCGCACUGGAACACUUUUCCGGCGAUAUGGAUACUUAGAUGCAUGGUUCAGCGUCGAUACACCAAUGCCUGCGGGCAUAUUGUAGAACUCCUCUUGUGCAAUGUUCCUCAGGUUUCCCAAAAUGCAAAAUGUCCCCAGAUCCAAUUCCGCCGCGUGCAGCCGCCAGCCUACAUCCGGAUCUCUGUUGAUUAUCCGGUGAUAUGAUCGACGUAAAAUAUUCGUAUUCAAUCACAAGCAGCAGGUAAGAAAUACAUGGUAUUCCCUCUUGUAGUUGAA